rnacentral:rRNA from 1 species
AUGGGCAAAGCUAGUCAGCAAAGAAUUGAUUUAGUUUUUAAAAGGAAAAGAGAUGAUACAAAUGAAGUUGAGGAGGAUCCUUCACCACCUGCAGAUCAUCCAAUUCCUCUACACUUGGUUGAAUUGGAGCAACAGCAGAACCAAAAUGGUCUUCAACAAAAUCAACCGGUUCUAUUUAAAGGUAUCGAAUUCUUGCAGCGCGACCCAGGAUUACGCCCGCAGAUUUGGCAAUAUCCACCAGAGCAAAGAGAUAGUGUGCGGCGAGCAUAUUUAUUGUUGACUGCUAUGCAACCCCGUCUACAGAAUUAUGAACCUUCAGGUGAAAUAGGGCAUCAGCGCUGCUUCAAGUACAAUUGGUUUGCUCAAUUCCCCUCAUGGCUAGAGUAUUCAGAGGACAAACAUCGUGCGUAUUGUCUAUAUUGCUUUGUCGCCAGCAAAAAAGAAAGUACAAGAGGUGGUUCUCAUGUAUUCACAGUCGAUGGCUUUGAUAGUUGGAAGAGGGUUAAUUGUGGAAAACAUUGUGCAUUUUUAACCCACAUAGGUUCUGGUCCAUGCUCAUCUCACAACAAUGCAGUCACAGAAUGUCAUGCCUUACUCAAUCAACCAUGCCACAUAGAAAAUGUGAUGGUAGCAAAGGACAAGGAGAAAGUAGAAAGAAACUGUUUGCGUUUGAAAGUCUCAAUUGCAGUUGUCAAGUGGCUCGCACGUCAAGCUUGUGCUUUUAGAGGGCAUGAUGAAAGACCUCAGUCCAAAAUUAAAGGAAUUUUUCUUGAAAUGGUGGAGCUUCUCGCAGAAUUCAACCCCGAGGUUGCCAAAGUUGUGAUGGGGAAUGCUCCGUAUAAUUCAAAGUACACAUCACCUGAUAUUCAAAAGGAGAUAUUGAGUAUAUUUGCAUGUAAAAUCAGGAAGCAUAUCCGCGAGGAAAUUGGAGAUUCUAAGUUCUCCAUUUUAGUGGACGAAACAUGUGAUGUAGCAAAGAGAGAGCAGAUGGCGCUGAUUCUCAGGUUUGUCGAUAAAGGUGGUGUUUUGCAAGAGAGAUUCUUUGACUUGAUACAUGUAGAAAACACAAGGUCUUUGACACUUAAAAAUAAGCUGACCUAUGUCUUAUCAAACCAUGGUUUUGACAUCCAGAACCUUCGGGGACAAGGUUAUGACGGGGCUAGUAAUAUGAGAGGUGAUUUGAAUGGACUACAAGCUCUAUUUCUCCAAGAAUGCCCAUAUGCUUAUUAUGCGCAUUGUUAUGCCCAUCGCUUGCAGCUUGCUCUUGUUGAUGCAUCCAAAGAAGUGGUUCCUAUUUCCCAAUUCUUUCAGAAAUUGGUGUGUCUCGUAAACACCGUUAACUCCUCUUAG